UAAAAAAUGAAUUAUUCAGUCUCCCCAUGACAAAGACAAGAAUUUCUCUUGAGGCUAGGAAUGUUGAACUAGUUCAUUCUUUGGCCCUGCCCUGUGGUUUACCCUGGUCUAAUGCACCCUUAAAAGGGCAAAAUGAAGUAACACAGUUUCUCUUCGUAAUCCUCAACCCCGGCUUUGAAACCUGGCUUCUAGGGAGAAACCUGUCAAACAAGAAAUGCUACUAAGUGCACCCUGCACACACCUGUCAGGUAACUUUGCAUCAAGUUCUCAUUUCCAAAGGGAAACCACGGUUUUAUCAGCGAAUGUUGCAUCACUUCUCACUGAAAAGAGAAAAACACGCUCCUGGAUGUGAAAAUGGUUAACAGAUUAAAAAAAAAAAAAAAAACAGAAGCAAAAGACUGACCUGUGGUCGGCUGCACUAAUCAGGACAAGCUCAAGUGGUUCUUUAAGGCCGAGGGGCUCAUUUACUGGACUGUGGUUACCGAGGCCCCUUGCCACAUCUUCCCGAGACAAGUAUCAGCACAUUUUAUCUUCAGCCAAACCAUAUAUCCUGUUCCACCAUAGGGACUGCGGUACCCAG